rnacentral:rRNA from 1 species
AUUGAACGCUGGCGGCAUGCUUACACAUGCAAGUCGAACGGUAACAGGCCGCAAGGUGCUGACGAGUGGCGAACGGGUGAGUAAUGCAUCGGAACGUGCCCAGUCGUGGGGGAUAACGCAGCGAAAGCUGCGCUAAUACCGCAUACGAUCUAUGGAUGAAAGCGGGGGACCGUAAGGCCUCGCGCGAUUGGAGCGGCCGAUGUCAGAUUAGGUAGUUGGUGGGGUAAAGGCUCACCAAGCCAACGAUCUGUAGCUGGUCUGAGAGGACGACCAGCCACACUGGGACUGAGACACGGCCCAGACUCCUACGGGAGGCAGCAGUGGGGAAUUUUGGACAAUGGGCGCAAGCCUGAUCCAGCGAUGCCGCGUGCAGGAAGAAGGCCUUCGGGUUGUAAACUGCUUUUGUACGGAACGAAACGGCCCUGGUUAAUACCCGGGGCUAAUGACGGUACCGUAAGAAUAAGCACCGGCUAACUACGUGCCAGCCGCCGCAGUAAUAC